rnacentral:lncRNA from 1 species
GAAUAAUAGAAAUGAAUAAACAAGAGAAAAAUCAAUACUUGAGGGAAUGGCGCCAAAGUAAUCAAGCCUUAAACAAUGUACUUGUAAAUGAAGAAAUUGACUCACAUCACAUGUCGACUCUAUUAAUAAUAUUAAUAGAGUCAAGAGUUGAAUUGAUUUCAAAAAUAUUGAAAUUAAGAACUAUAGUGACUUUUAUUUUGUCUCUGAUCAUAAAUAUACUUCUGGAACUGAGAGUUCUAUUCUAGACUCUGAGGUUCCUGUGUUUGAUGAUAAUGAAGAUCUUCAUGACGUACUUGUUACAUAACGUAUGAGUACUUGUUACAGAGAUUGCCAAAUGGAUUUUAAAACACAGAAUAACUAGAAAUGCAAGUGGCGAGUUGUUAACCAUUUACACCAGUAUAGUUAUAAUGUUGAUUUACCAAAAUGUACAGGAAAAUUUUAAAUACUCCUAGGAAUAUUCCAAGCAAGUUAAAAUGUGGGGGUAAAUAUGUUUACCUUGGUAUUUCAAAUGACAAAUCAAGAACUUUAGCAAUCAACCAGCAUUACAGAUUUGAGUCAAAUACAUUUCUUUAGUUGUCAAUGUAGAUAGCAUUCCCUUGCUAUAAAUCAAGAAUUAACUUAGUGACCUGAUAACCAUUUACAUUCUGUAGAGUUUUUUACAGUCUUGUAUUUUUGUUAAACUAUUUUGUCUUAUAUUUGGUUGAGCAAUUAUUAUUUCGUUGCAUUGAUAGAAUAACUGUGAAAAACAACCAAAUAAAUCUAAUCCUGUGUUAUUCCAACAUGAAAUUUUCUCUAAACUUUUAUUUAUGUUUUAGCUUUGUCACCUCAUAAAAGCAGGUGGGAAAAUGUUAAAGAAAAUACAAAAAAUGUUAAGGUCAGAAUUAUGAAGCAUCAUGUUAAGCCCAAGUUCAAUAUGAAAAGCAAAAUUCGUGUGAUAUAAAGAAGUUAUCAUUCGAAAAUAAAAAGUUGGGUAAAGCAAUAAUUUUGAAGUCAUCCAGCUAACGCACGAGAGUUCGACGGAAGCAAACAAAAGAUCAAAUAGGAAGCAUUUUAAAGUUCUCUCCAUUAAACAAUUAUUUAUUUUUG